rnacentral:lncRNA from 1 species
UCGUAUUGGCAUUACUCAUUUAAAAUAUACAUACAUUGUCUACAGCAUGUAUCUUAAUAAUUUACAUCAAGUUUGUCUAUACAUCUCAAAAAGAAGACUCGAUUUCCAACGGAGGGACUCAGACGAAUUUACAGCUACUAAAUGUCGAGACACCUACCAAAAGAUGGAUAUAAGUCUACAAGGACACCUCGUCUUAAUUACCGACUACCUCGUGAUCUGAAAACAUGAAGUUGAAAACGGUGAGUAUAAACCCAAUGAGUGAACAAGAAAGGGAACAAGCAUACCAUAAGGAAUCUUUAACGAAAUCAUGAUGCAUUCUUUUUCAAAACAAUGCAAUUUGUUUCUAUUCUUAUUAAAAACCCCUCAUCAAGCCCUUAAAUGAUUAAUCAUUUAAAAAUCAUGAAGCCAUACAUAACAAACCAUUUGAAGAAUGAAAGCUUCAAUAUUACACAAGUAAGUCAAAUACGACAACGAAUCUUCACUGUAGUGGAAACGCAUUCUCGCUGUCGGUAAUUAAGAUGAGGUUCAAUGCGAGAUUCAAUCUCGCUGCAGUGAAAUUGGAACCCAGAAACAGAAGGUUUCUCGCUGCAGCGAAAUUCAGCUGACGAAACAAAGAGUUUCUCGCUGCAGCGAGAUUCUUUUUCACUGCAGCGAGAAGCUACAGUGACUAUCUUGCUGCAACGAAAUACAUUCUCACUGCAGCGAGAACCAGUUCUGGUGAAGGUUCUCAAACCCGAGAGUUUCUCACUAUAGCAAGAAUGAAUUUCGCUGCAGCGAAAACAAAGCAACUAGAGAAAAGUUUCCUCUCACUCAACAAAAAGGCCAUCCUGCUAAACCAACAAAAUAAACAUACAGCACAUGAAAAUUCCUAAAGUGCAAUGUAUCAAAUUUCUCAUAUAUAUCAAUCAUAUAUCACAUUCAUAAGUUUUCAUUUCAUAAGUCUAGAUGUGCAUAAUUACAUAGAUAAACAUCAACAUCAUCAUAAUCACACCCGGCUCAUGUACAUCCCCCCACAUCGUGCACAUAGCCGGCACCAUUGUGUGCAUCCCCCCACAUCGUGCACAAUCAGUGCCAUCGUGUACAUCCCCUCUACAUCGUGCACACGAGCACUAUCAUCAUCCAUCUCUCAUGCCACCAUUAUCACCGGCAUGUGCAUCCCCCCACAUCGUGCACACACACGGUUACAGUCAUUAUACACAAUAUCAUUCAUCAUGCAUAACACACACAUUUAUAUAUCAUCAUACUACAAUAGUGCAUGAAUCCAUAGCAAUCACAUAUCACAACAUAAAACCAUUUUGCAAAAGCUUGUUCCCAAGGCACUUGUCUUUAUGAAAAACUUGAUAAUUCAUUCAAAUAGGUGGCAAAUACACUAUAUUUCUCAAAACAAGUUUUGAAGACAAUCCACUCACCGAUAUUUUGUUGAGCCUUUAACAGACUCUAAUUUCUCUAAUUGUCCAAAUGGAAUGGUGGAACUUUGUUGGAACCUACCAUUACAUUAACAUCACCAUUAUGUUAAUUCACAUAAUAUAAACUCUAAAAGCUAUCUCUUAGCUAGCUUCCAAAUGCCACUUUAAAUGCUAUUUAUGUUCACUAUCUUAAUUACUAUAAAAUGAAUGAACAUCCUUAACAAUAAACAGCUCAUAAUCCUAAUUACUAGCCAUUUUCUACAGAAAAAAACCGAAUUUAGUUCAUCACUCACCCUUGGGUUUCUUUGUAGUUGAAUUCUCUUCUAAUAGCUUCCAAAUAAAUGGGGUAAUUCUCUAUUUCUCUUUCUAGAACGCCCAACUAGUGAGAAAAAGUAUGGAAAUAAGAUUUAUCAAGGGUUUUAAAGUGAGAGAGUGAAAGAGCACAAGGGUUUAUGGAAGGGUGCACCAAAAGCAUGAAAAUUAGAGCUAGAGAGAGAAAGUUAUGGAAGCUUGAAGAAAACUCCCAUGGAGGAAUUGAAGAAACGUGAGAGGGAAUAAGGAAGAAGAAGACAAGCUACUGGAAAUUUCAAGAAGGUGUUGGAAAUUCAAGAUAUUUAUAGGCCAAAUUUAUCCAUUCCCUUAAAAUUACGAAAUUGCCCCUCCACCAAUUAACUUACUCUCCUCCAAUUUUUUAUGCAAUCUUUUUGUUCUUUUGACACUGGGACAAGGUCCAUAAUGGUCUAAACAUACUCGGGUUUAUAAAAACUUAAAAUUUUAACCCAAGGUGAAAAAUGACCAUUUUGCCCCUAUCGUGAAAGUUAUUGUCAUUUCUAGUUUUCUUCGUGUUUUCAUCAUUACACGUCAUUUAUACAGUCUUAUGCCUAUUUAGACCUUAAAAUAUCAUAAAACUUUCUUUUGAGAGCUUAUUAGAGAAAAUGACGAAACUACCCUUGGUUCGUAUUAUUACAUCUAUGCUUAGUUACAAGCCUAUAGAGGUUAGGGUCUCACAAAUUAGCUCCAGUUGCAAGGAAAUUCAGAAAGCUAAUGAGAAGAAGAAAUUGAAGGCUAACUAGAAGAGGUUUUAGGAAAGACCAAGCUACUUCAUGGAAAAUAAGGAACAAAAAUGACUCCAACAAAAAGGAAAAGAUGAACUGCUACGAAUGCAAGAAACCUGGUCACUUUAAGUCCGAGUGUCCAUUGUUGAAAGAUGAAACCCCCAAGAAAAAUAAGAAAUCCAAGAAAGCAAUGGUGGCUGUUGCAUGGUCGGACAGUGACACAUCAAGCUUUGAAACUGAUGAUGAAAAAUCUGAGGAAAGAGCAAACAUCUGUUUAAUGGUACAAGAGGAAAAACAGAGGUACCCUCAUCCCCUUGUAUUAAUUCUUAUGAUGAUUUACAAGAUGAGUAUGAGUGCCUUUAUGAUGAAUUUGAAAAGCUUUUCUCAAAAUACAAAUCAUUAAAGAAAAAGGCUACAUUUCCUGAAAAUGAUUUGGAGCAAAUCAAACAAGAGUUUACUUCUGUUUUUGAGCAAAGAAAUAUUUUGCAAAUUGAGUUAGAACACUCAAAAACAGACUUUAAAACUAGAGUUGGAAAACAAGUCUGAAGCUUUGCAAAUAACUCUUGAUGAAAAUACAGCUCUUAAAUGUUUGAAAAAUGAAUCCUUAAAAAAAGAUGUAUACCAUAAUAAAAAUUUAGCUAAAGCAUUACCUAGAUGUUAUAAUUAUGGUAAAUAUGGUCAUUUAUCAUAUGAGUGUUUUAAGAAAAUAACAGAGCGAAACGUUAAGAAAAUGUGGGUUCCUAAGGGAUCCUUUGUUGCUACUAACACUCAAGGACCCAUCAAAGUAUGGGUACCUAUAAAGACAAACUGAAAUUCUGUUUUGUAGGUUGAGCUAGAUUUAAAGGAGACAUGUUCAAAAGUUCAACUCAAGAAGAAACAGCCUUGGUACUUGGACAGUGGCUGUUCACGGCACAUGAAAGGACAUGAAAUGCUAUUUGCUCAGCUGGAUAAGAGAAAGGGAGGAACCGUAUCCUUUGGAGAUGAUUCAAAAGGAAGAAUUCAUGGUAUAGGUACGGUUGGUAAGAAUUCCCAAACUCAAAUUAGUCAUGUGUUGCUGGUUAAAGGCUUAAGCAUAAUUUACUAAGUAUUAGUCAAUUAUGUGAUAAAGGAUUUAAAGUAUACUUUGAUUCAACUAAGUGUGAAGUGAUUGACAUGAGUACAAAUAAAAUCUCAUUAUAGGAAANGGAUUUAGAGUGUGCUUUGAUUCAACUAAGUGUGAAGUGAUUGACAUGAGUACAAAUAAAAUCUCAUUUAUAGGAAAUAGAUUGAAGAAUAUGCAUGUAAUUUUUCUUGAAGUUCUUAAAGUAAAUAGUGAAGUAUGUCUUAUUGCAAAUGCUGAAAAUGAUAGUUGGCUAUGGCAUAGGAGAUUAGGACAUGUGAGCAUGAAUACUAUGUCAAAAUUAAUUAAGAAAAAUUUUAUUACUGGACUGCUUGAGUUAAAAUUUGAAAAUGAUAGGAUAUGUGAUGCUUGCCAACUAAGAAAACAAGUUAGGACAUCCUUCAAGUCUAAGAAAAUUGUGUCAACAUCUAGACCUCUUGAAUUGCUUCAUAUUGAUCUAUUUGGUCCAAUAAGCACAACUAGCUUAGGAGGAAAAUCUUAUGGCUUUAUUAUAGUUGAUGACUAUUCUAGAUAUACUUGGGUGUAUUUUCUUGCUCAUAAGAAUGCUGCUCUACAAGCAUUCUUAAGUCAUUAUAAGAAAGUAGAAAAUGAAAAAGGCCUAGCCAUAGUUAGCAUAAAAAGUUAUCAUGGAGGAGAAUUUGAAAAUGAUGAGUUUGAAAAGUUUUGCAAUGAAAAGGGGUUGGAUCACAAUUGUUCUGCACCUAGAACACCCCAGCAAAAUGGAGUUGUAGAGAGGAAAAACCAAACCUUGAAAGAAAUGGCUAGGACCAUGCUAUGUGAGAACAACCUACCUAAAUAUCUUUGGGCUGAGGUAGUAAAUACAACAGCUUAUAUUCUUAAUAGAGUCUUAAUAAGACUAUUGAUUUCGAAGACUCCAUAUGAACUCUAUAAAGGUAGGAAACCAAAUAUUUCUCACCUUAGGAGCUUUGGCUAUAAAUGCUUUGUAUUGAACAAUGGAAAACAACCCCUAGGGAAGUUUGAUGCAAUGAGUGAUGAAGUAAUAUUUUUAGGAUAUGCUUUAAAAUCAAAGGCCUAUAGAGUUUUUAACAAAAGGACCUUGACUGUUGAAGAAUCAAUUCAUGUAGUUUUUGAUGAGUCAAAUGCAUUGCAAAAAAAAGUUCAUGAUGAUGAUGAUGAUGUAGAAGUCCUAGAAAAACAAAUGAAGGAAAUGAGCUUGGAAAACAACAAAAAUAAUGAAGAAAGCUCACCUAAAAGAGAAGAUGAAACUUCACCUCUAGAAAAUCUGCAAAGAGUAGAAAAUCAGCAGGAUGAUCAACCAAGGAGUUGGAGAUUUGUGAGAGAUCACCCACAAGACCAAAUAAUUGGUGAAAUUUCUCAAAAAGUUAAAACUAAGAAAGCAACUAGAGAAACUUGUGAGUUUUCAACUUUUAUAUCUCAAAUUGAACCUAAAAACUUUGAAGAAGCUGAAAAAUAGGAAAGUUUGAUAAUGGCCAUGCAAGAAGAACUUGAUCAAUUCACAAGGAGUCAUGUAUGGUCAUUGGUACCUAGACCAUCAAAUCACCCUAUUGUUGGUACAAAAUGGGUGUUUAGAAAUAAGGUAGAUGAUUAAGGAAAUUAUAAUACCCCGUAC